rnacentral:rRNA from 1 species
GAUCCUGGCUCAGGAUGAACGCUAGCGGCAGGCUUAACACAUGCGAGUCGAGGGGCAGCGUGGAGUAGCAAUACUCUGACGGCGACCGGCGAAAGGGUGAGUAACGCGUGAGCAACAUGCCCGUAGUUGGGGGAUAGUCGAUGGAAACGUCGCGUAAUACCCCGUAACAACAGAGGCCGCAUGACCUUUGUUUAAGAGAUUUAUUGUCUACGGAUUGGCUCGCGUACCAUUAGCUAGUUGGCGGGGUAACGGCCCACCAAGGCGACGAUGGUUAGGGGUUCUGAGAGGAAGGUCCCCCCACAUUGGAACUGAGACACGGUCCAGACUCCUACGGGAGGCAGCAGUGAGGAAUAUUGGUCAAUGGCCGAGAGGCUGAACCAGCCAUGCCGCGUGCGGGAUGAACCGGCCCUAUGGGUUGUAAACCGCUUUUGUUGGGGAGCAAUAAGGUUCACGUGUGGACUGAUGAGAGUAUCCAGCGAAUAAGCAUCGGCUAACUCCGUGCCAGCAGCCGC